GCAGUGGUGGUUCAGUGGUAGAAUUUUCAUCUUUCACAUGGAGACCCAGGUUCGAUUCCUGGUCAAUGCA
rnacentral:tRNA from 1 species